rnacentral:lncRNA from 1 species
GACAUAGUCGAUCCAAACUGAGACUGGAUCAACCCAUCUGUGACUGAGUCGAUCCAAUCUCAGUCUGAGCCAACUAACACCCUAAAUCUACUUGAUCCUCUACAGCUUCAGUCCUGACUCUGAUUUCUUACUCCAUCAUGUAUCUCCAGAUAUUCGGAGCCCCAACCAUAUCUCUCAAAGUCCUCAUCACCUAAACCUCGAGCCCAUAGAGAGCUAUGCACCACCUCCACCCAAGGACCACUUCUGUCUUAGCCUUAAGAUCCAAACCGAUCCUAGCCUCCUGGAGCAAACACCCUGACUCCUUCUGUAGCCUUUCAAGGCUUGGGAGCACCACACCAACUCCUACAAUGUAUUCUUUGUCAUUAUUGUCAAAGGUCAUCACUGCUCCUUUCUUUGCUUUAAAGAUAAUAAAUUGUAUUUUAUCACCCAUCAUAUGCCGUGAAUAGCCACUAUCAAGAUAUUAUUUUUUUUCUUUUAUUGGCUACAAGACCCAUCUAUAAGAAAAAGCUAAGUUGUAAUUUUAGGUAUUCAAGCUUUGUUGGAUUCUUUGAGGUUAGUUACAGUAGUUCGUU